UAAAUACACAAAUCUGAUUGAUCAAAAAGCAACAAAGAAAAAAUCCCUGUAGAGAAAUGUAAUGUUCAAACGAGAAAACCGAUUUCACACAAAUCCAGUCAUAACACGUCCGAGACAAUAAUGACUCCGUUAUAUCUGACUUCCCAUAUGGUUCAGUAAAUAAAAUAAAAAAAGGCAAAAAAAAAAAAUUUAUGGCAUUUUAAUAAAAAAAAGGUCAAACCUUUAUUUUUUUUUUAUAUAAAGGAAACAAAAAAUAGAAAAUAAUGUACAAAAAACAACAAAAAGAAAAUAAGAAUAAAAGUCAUUUCCAGCCUCACGCAUCCAUUUACACAAUGAAAAGUUCUCCUUGGAAAAGUUUAUUUCCCCUUUCGGUUUAUGUACAUGACCUCAGAAACACAGUGGAGGGAUAAGUUAUACUGCAAAAAUAAUUCUAUUCUAUGGAUGUGACUGUAACCAAAAGUCUGCCCCCCCCUCCCCCCCCCCCCCCCGAUAUAGAGCAGUGGCAAUUUACAAAGAACAUGCAAUAUAUAUUAUACUAUAUAUUAGAAAACAUAAUAUACACAAAAUAGCUUCAAUUCACAACUGUAUUUAAUGAACAGAAUUUUACAUGAACCUUCUGUGAAAAUAGUCGACAUCUGUGGCGCCGGAUACAAAUAAGGCCGCGUUCAAUAAGUCGCAAAAAAAAACAAAAAAACAACUGUUUGACAAGUUCCAUUUACAUUAAAGCACCAUAUAUAUUUUUUUGUAAUACUCUUGUAGGGUCAUAAGUAGCCCCUUUAAAGGGAGAGGACUUUUUUUUUUCUUUGUUUUAGAUCGCACAAGAUUUAUUUGACAUUUUAUUGUUAAUUUAAAAA